ACUGAACGCUGGCGGCAUGGCUAAAACAUGCAAGUCGAACGGACCCGCAAGGGUUAGUGGCGGAAGGGUGAGUACAAGUAUCGAACGUACCCCGAGGUGGGGGAUAGGCACGGGAAACUGUGCGUAAUACCCCAUGAUCUCGAGAGAGCAAAGCAUCCCCUUAAAAGGCUGCGCCUUGGGAGCGGCGAUAUACCUAUCAGGUAGUUGGCGGGGUAACGGCCCACCAAGCCAGAGACGGGAGCCGGUGUGAGAGCACGACCGGCCACAUCGAGACUGAGACACUGCUCGGACUCCUACGGGAGGCUGCAGUAACGAAUAUUCCGCAAUGCGCGAAAGCGUGACGGAGCAAUGCCGCGUGCAGGAUGAAGCGGUUUCG
rnacentral:rRNA from 1 species